CGGGUGAGUAACACGUAUCCAACCUGCCGUCUACUCUUGGCCAGCCUUCUGAAAGGAAGAUUAAUCCAGGAUGGCAUCAUGAGUUCACAUGUCCGCAUGAUUAAAGGUAUUUUCCGGUAGACGAUGGGGAUGCGCUCCAUUAGAUAGUAGGCGGGGUAACGGCCCACCUAGUCAACGAUGGAUAGGGGUUCUGAGAGGAAGGUCCCCCACAUUGGAACUGAGACACGGUCCAA
rnacentral:rRNA from 1 species